rnacentral:rRNA from 1 species
UACGAAGGGGGCGAGCGUUGUUCGGAUUUACUGGGCGUAAAGGGCGCGCAGGCGGUUCUGUUUGUCGAGUGUGAAAGCCCCGGGCUCAACCUGGGAACUGCGCUCGAAACGGCGGAACUAGAGUUCGGGAGAGGAGAGUGGAAUUCCUGGUGUAGCAGUGAAAUGCGUAGAUAUCAGGAGGAAUACCGAUGGCGAAGGCAGGUCUCUGGGCUGACACUGACGCUCAUGCACGA